rnacentral:RNase_P_RNA from 1 species
CUGGUAGUCCGGGUGGCCGCUCCGCGUAGAAUAUGCGGAGAGGAAAGUCCGGGCUCCUCCAGGCAGGGUGCUGGGUAACACCCAGGAGGGGUAACCCUACGGAAAGUGCCACAGAAACAUACCGCCUGUGCUUUUGCAGGUAAGGGUGAAAUGGUGAGGUAAGAGCUCACCGGCAGCCGGGAGACCGGCUGGACGGGCAAACCCCACCCGGAGCAAGACCAAAUAGAGGGACGCGCUGUGGCAGUCAGGCGAGUGUCUGACCCACAUGAAGGGAUGCCUGGCCCAUGUCCCCGGGUUGGUUGCUUGAACCUGAUGGUAACGUCAGGACCAGAUGGAUGGCCACCACCCUCACAUGAGGGUACAGAACCCGGCUUACAGGACUACCAGCCCG